AUGCACCUCGCAUACCUCAUCCUCACUGCCUUUCUGGGGCAGUGGCUGGGCACCAUGGGACAGACCAGCAUCACCCAGCAAGAAGGACAAGUCACAGUGAAGCAGGGAGACGCAUUCCACACCACCUGCACAUACCAGACACCUAACUUUUAUGGCUUGCUCUGGUACCAGCAGAAGAAAGGCCAAGCUCCCCAGCUGCUCUCAUAUCAGGCAGCAGCUGGCCCCAAGCCCAGCGGCCGUCUGACCACGCUGCUGAACACCACGGGGAAAUACAGCCUGCUGCAGCUGGAGGAAGUGGAGGUCUCUGACAGUGCCUUGUACCUCUGUGCCAGGGCCACCCUGGGGUCCCGUCCCCAAGGGGCGGCCCCUGUUGUUCUUGGAACAGGGACAAAGUUGGCUGAAUUGUCGGUUGGGCCAUAA